GCUCAAUGUUCUUAUGAGCGAAGCCGCGUCAUCGCCUCCGGGAGACAGAGAUUGCGGCAGCCUCCAAAAGUCUUUUGUGGAAAAUCGUACCCUGUCCUUUAGGCUCUGAGAUGCAAAGAAGUCGAUGGCAGAGGAAUGAGCACCGUGUUUACCUAGUGACCAAAGUAUCCUUUGUGGCCUACAAAAGGAAAAAAGCUCAGAAGAUUCUUUCCUCGAUUAACAAAGACACCUCAUAGGACCUGAGGGACUUUACCUCAAACGUAACGAAAGCCAAUUUGGACACGAACCAAAAAGUCCUAACAAAGCAAUUCACUAGAAAAAGAAUGGAAGAAAGGAAUUUAUUGCUUUUGUGAAGUGUCUUACCAGAAGCAUCAAAGUUUUGCACUUGGCUCGGGUUAUCUCUGUAAAGAGAUUUGUUAUUUUGUCUCUUAUUAAAACGUCUGUUUCCAAAACUA